rnacentral:rRNA from 1 species
UACGUAGGGUGCGAGCGUUGCCCGGAUUUAUUGGGCGUAAAGGGCGCGUAGGCGGCCACGCACGUCCGUUGUGAAAUCGCCCGGCUCAACUGGGCGGGGUCAGCGGAUACGGUGUGGCUCGAGCAAGCUAGGGGCAAUGGAAUUCCCGGUGUGAGUGGUGGAAUGCGUAGAUAUCGGGAGGAACACCAGUGGCGAAGGCGGUUGCCUGGAGCUUUGCUGACGCUGAUGCGCGAAAGCGUGGGGAGCGAUCCGG